ensembl:lncRNA
CGAGUUGAUCCAGCAUUCUUUUGACCGAGGUGAUGCAGAGACAGAGCUUGGCUCGAUCAGGACGACGUCUCGGCCAAACCCCCACCGUGCCUCCCCAGCCCGCCCACAGCCGAUCAAUAUGACUGGAGUUGGAGAUACAGGUGACCUAGUUACCAUGGCACCUCAGAGGAGACUCGCUGCAAAUUACAGUGGACCGAGAAAUCUGACGCAUAGAUGGCAUGCCACUGGUUGUGAAGAUCAUUGUUGGUCAUUGAUAAAAGCAUCCUGUGGAUAUAAAUGCUUGUGGGAGAAAGACCGAGAAAGAUGAAUUGCUGAGAUGGAGCGAGAUGGAUUGCAGAAGAUGAAGAAAUGUAAACGGAGGGAGAAAAUGACAGAGUGCCGCUGGUCCCGCUCUCUCAGGCUGGAGGUUAAAGAUCAUUUGAAAUGUUUAAAUGGCUGCUAAAAGACAGUGGGACUGCGAGAGAAGAGGCAUAACAAAGCAAUACAUUAUAAGACGGGGCCAUCUCAUAAGGAAAAUGUUGCUGUUGUGACUUUUAUCUGUUCAUCAUCUGACCGUCAGUCUGAUGACAUUCUCACAUUGGUUCAAAGGACACAGGCAAAGCAUCCAGAGUCUCUGAACGUUAUCGUGUAUGAAUGACGGAAAACAGGGAAAUGGCUUCAACUGUAAUGUGUUUUAUGAUAUUUAUUGUAAAACUAUAGUUAUAAUAUUAUUUUUUAUUUAAAAGAUCAGUUCCAAAUUUCAGAAGAAGAAAAAUCUUCAUCAAUUUAGCUGAUAUUAGAGUGAAUAAAUAAAUUAUUUCCAGCCCUAAAAGUUGUGAAAAGAGCUGAAAAGACCUGAACAAGAUAAUCUACUUGCAUUACAUAACUAAACAAUCCAUUAGUAUCGGAUUGGUUGCUCAGUUGGACCAAAAAGAAAACAUAAGAAAAUUGAGCUUCAUCCAAAAGAAAUUUGGAUCAGUUUGGAAGGGAUGUUGUAGACCCGAAGUAAUUAAUAGGAAAAAAUUAGGCAUGUGAACGCUAGCUUGAUUCCAUUUAUUUUCUAAGCUGGAUUCAAAAAUACCUUUGGCACGUACACAUUUAUAAGGUCAAAACCUUUGGACAAACUGUUAGAUCUAAAACGCAUGGUUACUAUAUUUUGGUUUAGUUUGGGUUUUGGUUUGGUUACUUGGCCCAGAUAAGCAGCAGCCAACAAUUCCCAACCCACAUUGAACUCCUCCGUUACUGUUCAACAAGCAAAAUGAAAUUAGUUGACAGAAUGUCCAGAGUGUGCAAAACUGUAAUCUAGACUAAGGGUGACUAUUUUCAUAAGUCAAAGAAUGAGUAGGUGUGUCCAAACUUCCUUUGAUUGGUACUGUUUGUGUGCAUACCAUUUUAUGUGUAUGGAAUAGUGUGUUUGUGUAUACACACGUAAGCACAUAUUUACACUGACCCACAAAAAGAAAGACACAGAAGCACUACACAGUUAACAGCUGGUUGUGCCAUUCAUUGAGCUCUCUUACAUUAACAAGAGAUGAAAUCCUAUCAAUGAAUUUUUUUGUCUUUUGUCAUUCAGAGUUUUAAAUAGAGGCUCUUUCAUGGAAGUGAAAGCACUCUCCCUGUACAGGUGAAGACAGAUGCCAUAAAUUCCCUUCCUGUCUUUGUCUGUCUGCACAUUCAAUAUCACUCUUGUGUGACAUUCAGGUGGUGUCAUAGUUCCACACAUAAUGUAAUGUCACCUUUGUUGGCUAAUGAGGUCAUUUGAUUACUACAAACAAAGCCAGUAGUUACAGCAAUUCACUGUUGCAAAGUAAUGUUUGUGAAGUUUC